rnacentral:rRNA from 1 species
AGUGAACGCUGGCGGCGUGCCUAAUACAUGCAAGUCGAACGGAGAUUCAGUAGCUUGCUAUUUAAUCUUAGUGGCGCACGGGUGAGUAAUAUAUAGCUAACUUGCCCAUUACUAGGGGACAACAGUUGGAAACGACUGCUAAUACCUUAUACUCCGUAUCUAUAUAAGUAGAUACGGGAAAGUUUUUCGGUAAUGGAUAGGGCUAUAUCGUAUCAGCUAGUUGGUAAGGUAAUGGCUUACCAAGGCUAUGACGCGUAACUGGUCUGAGAGGAUGAUCAGUCACACUGGAACUGAGACACGGUCCAGACUCCUACGGGAGGCAGCAGUAGGGAAUAUUGCUCAAUGGGGGAAACCCUGAAGCAGCAACGCCGCGUGGAGGAUGACAAUUUUCGGAGCGUAAACUCCUUUUCUUGGGAAAGAAUUAUGACGGUACCCAAGGAAUAAGCACCGGCUAACUCCGUG